rnacentral:rRNA from 1 species
GACGAACGCUGGCGGCGUGCUUAACACAUGCAAGUCGAACGGAAAGGCCCUGCUUUUGUGGGGUGCUCGAGUGGCGAACGGGUGAGUAACACGUGAGUAACCUGCCCUUGACUUUGGGAUAACUUCAGGAAACUGGGGCUAAUACCGGAUAGGAGCUCCUGCUGCAUGGUGGGGGUUGGAAAGUUUCGGCGGUUGGGGAUGGACUCGCGGCUUAUCAGCUUGUUGGUGGGGUAGUGGCUUACCAAGGCUUUGACGGGUAGCCGGCCUGAGAGGGUGACCGGCCCCAUUGGGCCUGAGGUACGGCCCAGGCCCCUUCGGGGGGCAGCAGUUGGGAAUAUUGCACAAUGGGCGGAAGCCUGAUGCAGCAACGCCGCGUGCGGGAUGACGGCCUUCGGGUUGUAAACCGCUUUCGCCUGUGACGAAGCGUGAGUGACGGUAAUGGGUAAAGAAGCACCGGCUAACUACGUG